rnacentral:lncRNA from 1 species
GCACUGGGUGGAAAGAGCACUGAGGGAGAGAAGUUUUUAACCCAAAUUGUUUUGCUAUCUUUUUCAUAGGUCAUUCCCUUCCCUUCUAAACAACUGUCAGUCAAAUGAGACAGUGUGGAAGUUGAUAUAGGAGCAGAAAAAAGCAGAAAAGGCAGAAGGAGUAUGUUAGCUAUGACUGAUUCUCGUGGAUUUGUCAAGCACAUUUUAUCACAACUUCCACUAGCUGACAUCCCAUACGAUGUAGAAGAGAGAGAAGGACUGAAAUGCAACUUUCAGUACAUGUAACCUCCUGGAAGAUUAAAAAAUCUGUGGAAACUAGCUGAGAGUUUUGCAAGCAUAUCUGAAUGGUGAAUAAACUGAGGUAGGUUGGAGUUUAUGCCCCUGAA